CUAAGUUUGAUGGCGACCGGCGCACGGGUGAGUAACACGUAUCCAACCUGCCGAUGACUCGGGGAUAGCCUUUCGAAAGAAAGAUUAAUACCCGAUGGCAUAGUUCUUCCGCAUGGUAGAACUAUUAAAGGAUUUCGGUCAUCGAUGGGGAUGCGUUCCAUUAGGUUGUUGGUGAGGUAACGGCCCACCAAGCCUUCGAUGGAUAGGGGUUCUGAGAGGAAGGUCCCCCCACAUUGGAACUGAGACACGGUCCAAACUCCUACGGGAGGCAGCAUG
rnacentral:rRNA from 1 species